CUAUCGCGCUUGAUGAAAUCAUUGACGGAUGUAACGAGCAAUUGCUCAGUUGUCCGAGAGCGCAUAAACUCAUGUGGAUGUCCCGUUGCCUUCCUUCUGACCGUUU
rnacentral:snoRNA from 1 species